GCCCAGUUAGCUCAGUCAGUAGAGCAUGAGACUCUUAAUCUGAGGGUUGUGGGUUCAAGCCCCACACUGGGUG